rnacentral:rRNA from 1 species
UACGGGAGGCAGCAGUGGGGAAUAUUGCACAAUGGGCGAAAGCCUGAUGCAGCUAUGCCGCGUGUAUGAAGAAGGCCUUAGGGUUGUAAAGUACUUUCAUCGGGGAGGAAAAACAAAACUAAUAAUUUUAUUUCUUGACGUUACCCGAAAAAGAAGCACCGGCUAACUCCGUGCCAGCAGCCGCGGUAAUACGGAGGGUGCUAGCGUUAAUCAGAAUUACUGGGCGUAAAGAGCACGUAGGUGGUUUUUUUAAGUCAGAUGUGAAAUCCCUGGGCUUAACCUGGAACUGCAUUUUGAAACUGAAAUACUAGAGUAUCGUAGAGGGAGGUAGAAUUCUAGGUGUAGCGGUGAAAUGCGUAGAUAUCUGGAGGAAUACCUGUGGCGAAAGCGGCCUCCUAAACGAAUACUGACACUGAGGGUGCGAAAGCGUGGGGAGCGAAACAGGGAUUAGAUACC